rnacentral:rRNA from 1 species
UACGUAGGGACCAAGCGUUGUUCGGAUUUACUGGGCGUAAAGGGCGCGUAGGCGGCAAUUCAAGUCAGUUGUGAAAUCUCCGAGCUUAACUCGGAACGGUCAACUGAUACUGUUUUGCUAGAGUGCAGAAAGGGCAACCGGAAUUCUUGGUGUAGCGGUGAAAUGCGUAGAUAUCUGGAGGAACACCGGUGGCGAAGGCGGCAUCCUGGACCGGCAUUGACGCUGAGGCGCGAAAGCCAGGGGAGCAAACGGG